rnacentral:rRNA from 1 species
AGUGAACGUUGGCGGAAUGCUUUACACAUGCAAGUCGAACGGCAGCACGGACUUCGGUCUGGUGGCGAGUGGCGAACGGGUGAGUAAUACAUCGGAACGUGCCCAGUCGUGGGGGAUAACGUAGCGAAAGCUACGCUAAUACCGCAUACGAUCUAAGGAUGAAAGCGGGGGAUCGCAAGACCUCGCGCGAUUGGAGCGGCCGAUGGCAGAUUAGGUAGUUGGUGGGGUAAAGGCUCACCAAGCCGACGAUCUGUAGCUGGUCUGAGAGGACGACCAGCCACACUGGGACUGAGACACGGCCCAGACUCCUACGGGAGGCAGCAGUGGGGAAUUUUGGACAAUGGGCGCAAGCCUGAUCCAGCCAUUCCGCGUGCAGGAUGAAGGCCCUCGGGUUGUAAACUGCUUUUGUACGGAACGAAAAGGCUCUGGUUAAUACCCGGGGCUCAUGACGGUACCGUAAGAAUAAGCACCGGCUAACUACGUGCCAGCCGCCGCAGUAA